AUACAAGAUGAAAAAGAUCUACAGUGGAAAUGAAAGAAGUUUGCAUGGUUUCAGUACCGCCUUACAAAAGACAAUAAUUUGUUUAAGACAUUUACCCUGUUUUCUCAUAUCCUCAGCCUUGGUCAAAUUGCAUGGCUGCCAACCUGGGGGCUCUUCAUCCAUUCAACCUCCUCCAGUAAUGGUCCACAGCAAAUUUCAAUGUCCUCAUUCUGUCACCAAGAAAGAAGGCACAGUGGGUGAAAACAGAAGAUGUUUAGGCUAAUGUUACACUUCAUCUUCAAGGCAAUAAAUAUGCAUUUGGACCUUCUUUUAAAUCACAAUAAAAAGGAAACAUCAUUA